CUGGGGACACCUAAGCAUACAGCUGAGCGCUCUACACCCCUGAACAGGAGAUGACUUGGAGCGGUCUUCAUUGCAGCCUUGCUAUCCAGAGAUGAUGGACUCUGGAGGGACUGUGCACGUUCCAGGGCUGGCCAGUUCUUAGAGCUAAUAAACAACUCCUGGAAAGGUGUCUUUCAGAUGCAAACCAACCAAUCCAGAGCCUGAGCCCCCAGCCACCUCCUCUGGGCUUCUCAGAUUUCCCAUCAAUAACCCCUGCCCUAAUCACACCACGGCCAGAUACCAAAUAAGGAAGGACAGCCCCUGCCCCAGAGCCUACCGAGAAUAUUUGAAUUAGCCUCUCCAGAACCUGCUUAGCCAGCUGGCUGUUUCCUUCUGCAAACAAUAAAGGCUCUUGCCCACGUUUUCCCUUC